rnacentral:rRNA from 1 species
GACGUAGGGCGCGAGCGUUGUCCGGAUUUAUUGGGCGUAAAGCGCACGUAGGCGGAUUGCUAAGUCAGGGGUGAAAUCCUGGAGCUCAACUCCAGAACUGCCUUUGAUACUGGCGACCUUGAGUCCGGGAGAGGUGAGUGGAACUGCGAGUGUAGAGGUGAAAUUCGUAGAUAUUCGCAAGAACACCAGUGGCGAAGGCGGCUCACUGGCCCGGUACUGACGCUGAGGUGCGAAAGCGUGGGGAGCAAACAGG